UCGGGAAUCUUGGGCAAUGGGCGAAAGCCUGACCCAGCGACGCCGCGUGAGGGAUGAAGGCCUUCGGGUCGUAAACCUCUGUCGGGAGGGAAGAAUGGCGGUAGGGCGAAUAGUCCUGCCGUUUGACGGUACCUCCAAAGGAAGCGCCGGCUAACUCCGUGCCAGCAGCCGCGGUAAUACGGAGGGCGCAAGCGUUGUUCGGAAUCACUGGGCGUAAAGCGCGUGUAGGCGGCCGGGCAAGUCGGAUGUGAAAUCCCGAGGCUCAACCUCGGAACUGCACUCGAAACUGCUCGGCUCGAGUCCCGGAGAGGAUGGCGGAAUUCCCGGUGUAGGGGUGAAAUCCGUAGAUAUCGGGAGGAACACCAGUGGCGAAGGCGGCCAUCUGGACGGUGACUGACGCUGAGACGCGAAAGCGUGGGGAGCAAACAGG
rnacentral:rRNA from 1 species